AAGGGAGAGGGAACAGGAAAAGACGAGACAGAGGAAGAAGACGACGGCUUGGUCGACCCUUUCUUGUGCGGCUGAGUGUCUCGUUCACUCUCUCCCUCUGUUUUUUUUUCGUUGUUUAUUUCUUCUUUCUUGUC
rnacentral:ribozyme from 11 species